rnacentral:lncRNA from 1 species
GCAAGAGAGGACGAUGCACCGAAGAAUCGGACGAAGCGCCAACCAAUGACGUGCCGGGCAACAGAAUGUCAAUUCGCGUUAUAAUAAUUGUCUAGAUCGGAGUAGAGUUUUGGUUUGUGUGUGCAGGAUUAACUACGAUAACGAUGAAGACAUAAAGCGAAACAAAGUGCUGGAGUCAAGCGCGAAGGAUUCGUUGGGAGUUCGAGAGUUCGACGGAAGUCCGAAGGUUCGUCGGGAAUGCUGCCGGAACUAGCCGAGAAUGAGUAGGGAGCUUGCCGAAGGGUUUUUCGGAAGCUCGCCGGAAGGUUCGUUGGAAGUUCGCGGAGCUC